GGUCAAGAGGAUGGCGUCAAGACCUGGCUCGUCGUCCGGCAACCUUCGCGCAAGGUGCCCCAGGGAACGACCUGAUCGUCGUCGGCGACGGCUGGCGGCGAUAACGCGGAUC
rfam:Frankia sp. BMG5.36 contig_91, whole genome shotgun sequence.